GGCAACAGCUCAAAUUUGAAAUCUGGCCCCUAGGGCCCGAGUUGUAAUUUGCAGAGGAUGCUUUUGGCGAGGUGCCUUCCGAGUUCCCUGGAACGGGACGCCAUAGAGGGUGAGAAUCCCGUC
rnacentral:rRNA from 1 species